rnacentral:rRNA from 1 species
UACGUAGGGUGCGAGCGUUGUCCGGAAUUAUUGGGCGUAAAGAGCUUGUAGGCGGUUUGUCGCGUCUGCUGUGAAAAUCCGGGGCUCAACCCCGAACUUGCAGUGGGUACGGGCAGACUAGAGUGUGGUAGGGGAGACUGGAAUUCCUGGUGUAGCGGUGGAAUGCGCAGAUAUCAGGAGGAACACCAAUGGCGAAGGCAGAUCUCUGGGCCGUAACUGACGCUGAGGAGCGAAAGCAUGGGGAGCGAACAGG